rnacentral:tRNA from 1 species
GGUGAGGUAGUAUAAAAUAGUGCGGGGGGCUCAUGCCCCUCAAGUACGGGACGGCAGGUUCCCGUCCUUGCCU